rnacentral:tRNA from 1 species
GAGUAAGUAGCUUAGUUCGGUAGAGCAUUGGACUUUUAAUCCACAGGUCCUGGGUUCAAAUCCCAGUUUACUCA